rnacentral:misc_RNA from 1 species
GUAGGUGAACCUGCGGAAGGAUCAUUAACGAGUUAGGGUUGGCCCCUCGCGGCCGCCCGAACCUCCCAACCCUUGUGUCUACCAAACCCAAUGUAUGUUGCUUCGGCGGGCCGGUUUCCCCGUCACACGGGAGACCGCCGGGCCUUUUGCGCCUGGAGAGCGCCCGCCGACGGCCCACACCAAAACUCUUGAACCAAAACAGUGUCGUCUGAAUUCAAAAAAGUUAAUUAAAAACAAAACUUUCAACAACGGAUCUCUUGGUUCGG